UACGUAGGUGGCAAGCGUUAUCCGGAAUUAUUGGGCGUAAAGAGCGCGCAGGUGGUUGAUUAAGUCUGAUGUGAAAGCCCACGGCUUAACCGUGGAGGGUCAUUGGAAACUGGUCGACUUGAGUGCAGAAGGGGGAAGUGGAAUUCCAUGUGUAGCGGUGAAAUGCGUAGAGAUAUGGAGGAACACCAGUGGCGAAGGCGGCUUCCUGGUCUGUAACUGACACUGAGGCGCGAAAGCGUGGGGAGCAAACAGGAUUAGAUACCCG
rnacentral:rRNA from 1 species